CCUACGGGUGGCAGCAGUGAGGAAUAGUGGUCAAUGGGCGCGAGUCUGAACCAGCCAAGUCGCGUGAGGGAUGAAGGUUCUAUGGAUCGUAAACCUCUUUUAUAAGGGAAUAAAGUGUGGGACGUGUCCUAUUUUGUAUGUACCUUAUGAAUAAGGAUCGGCUAACUCCGUGCCAGCAGCCGCGGUAAUACGGAGGAUCCGAGCGUUAUCCGGAUUUAUUGGGUUUAAAGGGUGCGUAGGCGGCCUUUUAGGUCAGCGGUGAAAGUCUGUGGCUCAACCAUAGAAUUGCCGUUGAAAAUGGGGGGCUUGGGUAUGUUUGAGGCAGGCGGAAUGCGUGGUGUAGCGGUGAAAUGCUUAGAUAUCACGCAGAACCCCGAUUGCGAAGGCAGCCUACCAAGCCAUGACUGACGCUGAUGCACGAAAGCGUGGGGAUCAAACAGGAUUAGAUACCCCGGUAGUC
rnacentral:rRNA from 1 species